rnacentral:misc_RNA from 1 species
GAUCCGUAGGGGAACCUGCGGAUGGAUCAUUAAUAUUUUUAUCCUUUUAUCCAUAACCAUUACAAACUGUUGAAGUAUUUGUUAUUCUUUUUCAUUAAAAGAACAACUAAUCUUUUAUUAUCAAACUCUAAACCAUAUUUAUCUAAAUUCUUUAUUAGUUACUUCUGAGCAAUUAGUACUAACUAUAUAAAACAAAUAUUAAAAUGUGAAACAACUUUUAACAAUGGAUAUCUUGGUUCUCGCAUCGAUGAAGACGCAGC